UCUGGCUCAAUUUGGAAAUAAAGCUCAACUACAGAGUUUGUUUCAGACUUAUUCUUCGCUUUGACAUCUCUCACCAGGUUGGAACUAGGAGGAAGGCAUAAUACAUUCUCCUCAUGCCUCAUAUUAAAAGGGAGUGGUGGUGAAGAAAAGUUGUUUUUGAAUAUAUUUGAUAUAUUGAUUGCUUCUCCUUCCAACAAAUUGCCAUGGCACAGGCCUUCAAUAUAAAUCUGGGAACGAAGCUCAGGAAUAAAUGCCUUCAGAUCAGCAAGAGAGAGGUCACCUAGAACACGUAGCUUCUCCUCUACAUCAUAGAAGCUCUUACGCAGGACUUGAAGUCUCAAGU
rnacentral:misc_RNA from 1 species